GGGGAAUUUUGGACAAUGGGGGAAACCCUGAUCCAGCCAUCCCGCGUGUGCGAUGAAGGCCUUCGGGUUGUAAAGCACUUUUGGCAGGGAAGAAACGGCCUGGGAUAAUACCCUGGGCUAAUGACGGUACCUGCAGAAUAAGCACCGGCUAACUACGUGCCAGCAGCCGCGGUAAUACGUAGGGUGCAAGCGUUAAUCGGAAUUACUGGGCGUAAAGCGUGCGCAGGCGGUUCGGAAAGAAAGGUGUGAAAUCCCGGGGCUUAACCUCGGAACUGCACUUUUAACUACCGGGCUAGAGUACGUCAGAGGGGGGUAGAAUUCCACGUGUAGCAGUGAAAUGCGUAGAUAUGUGGAGGAAUACCGAUGGCGAAGGCAGCCCCCUGGGAUGAUACUGACGCUCAUGCACGAAAGCGUGGGGAGCAAAC
rnacentral:rRNA from 1 species